GACGAACGCUGGCGGCGUGCUUAACACAUGCAAGUCGAACGGAAAGGCCCUGCUUAUGUGGGGUGCUCGAGUGGCGAACGGGUGAGUAACACGUGAGUAACCUGCCCUUGACUUUGGGAUAACUUCAGGAAACUGGGGCUAAUACCGGAUAGGAGCUCCUGCUGCAUGGUGGGGGUUGGAAAGUUUCGGCGGUUGGGGAUGGACUCGCGGCUUAUCAGCUUGUUGGUGGGGUAGUGGCUUACCAAGGCUUUGACGGGUAGCCGGCCUGAGAGGGUGACCGGCCACAUUGGGACUAAGAUACGGCCCAGACUACUACGGGAGGCAGCACUAGGGAAUAUUGCACCAUGGGCGGAAGCCUGAUGCGGCAACGCCGCGUGCGGGAUGUCGGCCUUCGGGUUGUAAACCGCUUUCGCCUGUGACGAAGCGUGAGUUACGAUAAUGGGUAAAGAAGCUCCGGCUAACUACGUG
rnacentral:rRNA from 1 species